rnacentral:lncRNA from 1 species
CCUAAUUAAACAGCUCCAUCUGAAUACAAAUUAAACUCCUGCGCUGUUAACAUUCAGUCAAUUGCUCGAGCCCACGUCAACCCAGUGCCCCCCGCGUGCCCUGGGGCUGUGGGGCUGGACGGCCGCCCUCACCAGCCCAGGGACGCGUGGGGGAUGGACGGUCAACGACAAGCACUUGGAGACACACCGUUACGUGACUGCCAGUGCGGCCGAGCGCCGAGGGAACGACAGGACAGGGCACGGACGCUUCCCAGCAGGCUGCGUGGUUAGGACUGGGGAGAGAAGCCUUCACCGACGGUGCCAGCCCUGAGCUGCUGCGUGCUACCGGGGC